UAGAGUUUGAUCUGGCUCAGGAUGAACGCUGGCGGUCUGCUUAACACAUGCAAGUCGAACGCAACCUUCGGGUUGAGUGGCGGACGGGUGAGUAACGCGUGAGAAUCUGCCUUGGGGUCGGGGACAACCACUGGAAACGGUGGCUAAUACCGGAUAAGCCUUUGGGUAAAAAAUUUAUUGCCCCAAGAGGAGCUCGCGUCUGAUUAGCUAGUUGGUGAGGUAAGAGCUCACCAAGGCAGCGAUCAGUAGCUGGUCUGAGAGGACGAUCAGCCACACUGGGACUGAGACACGGCCCAGACUCCUACGGGAGGCAGCAGUGGGGAAUUUUCCGCAAUGGGCGAAAGCCUGACGGAGCAAGACCGCGUGAGGGAGGAAGGCUCUUGGGUUGUAAACCUCUUUUCUCAGGGAAGAAGCUCUGACGGUACCUGAGGAAUCAGCCUCGGCUAACUCCGUGCCAGCAGCCGCGGUAAUACGGAGGAGGCAAGCGUUAUCCGGAAUUAUUGGGCGUAAAGCGUCCGCAGGUGGCGAUUCAAGUCUGCUGUCAAAGCACGGGGCUUAACUCCGUUAAGGCAGUGGAAACUGAAUAGCUAGAGUGCCGUAGGGGUAGAAGGAAUUCCCGGUGUAGCGGUGAAAUGCGUAGAGAUCGGGAAGAACAUCGGUGGCGAAAGCGCUCUACUGGACGGCAACUGACACUCAGGGACGAAAGCUAGGGGAGCGAAUGGGAUUAGAUACCCCAGUAGUCCUAGCUGUAAACGAUGGAUACUAGGUGUAGCUUGUAUCGACCCGAGCUGUGCCGAAGCUAACGCGUUAAGUAUCCCGNCUGGGGAGUACGCACGCAAGUGUGAAACUCCAAGGAAUUGACGGGGGCCCGCACAAGCGGUGGAGUAUGUGGUUUAAUUCGAUGCAACGCGAAGAACCU
rnacentral:rRNA from 1 species